UACUUUAUCAAUCCACUGUAUAGGUCAUUAUAAUUACUAUCAUAAUAAUUUAUUUAAGAAGUUUUGCAAAUCAUAUGUGAAAAAAAGGGAAGAAAAUUGACACCAUUUCUCAAUUAUCUUUCUGCCAAAGAAUGGGUUCRCAACUUGAGAUACAAAUCAAUCAAUCAUUCAUUUAUUUAUUCAUUCAAACAGCUACAUGGAUGACAGGACCAAUAAAGUAAUUGAAGCUGAUGUGAUCCAGGUCACUGACGCCACCAGUUCAGUGGCGAUUGAGUCAGUUGGAUUUCAGAGAAGGUUGAACAGCAUUCUGACAGAGGGUCUACCUGUAUCAACUACUGAUCGGUAACCAUCAAUCAGAAAAAGUCAUGCGAGAAGAGUACCCUACUAUCCAACAUGAGCUGGAUUGCUGGCAUGUUUCAAAGGGUAAAUUUGUAACUAUUCCACCAACAAGAGUUGUCAUCCAGUGUCAUAUGCUUCCUUUUUCCCCCCGGUUAAAUGUUGAUCUUUCCUCUAGUAGGCUUGAUAAAGAAACUUCUGGCACAGUCAAAAAAGAAGGGCAAUGACGUUUUAAGACUGUGAAUGAAAACGUUGCAAAUCACCUUUGGAGCUCCUGUUGUAAAUGUAGGAGAGACAUACAGGUAACAUGGGCUUGAAAAUGAUUGCCAAGACAGUUAUGGCCCAUAAGAAAGAACAAACCUAACACAAAGGAUUCUGAUAAUUAACUAUGCUAAAAUAGUGUAUUGAGAUGAAAUGGCUAAAUCAAUUUAUUCAUAGUUGUUUGUCUGUCAGAAUCAAAUCAGGACGGUUAUUAUUACUACACACAGACCAAAACCUAUUAAAUGAAGUGGCAACUAAGUGUGUAAUCAGGAACAAUAUCUUUCAAAGYAAUAAAACUCAUAUGGAAGUCUCUUCUACCUACCACGUACAAUUGGACUGAAAAUGGAGUGCAGUACAGCUGCUCCCAUGAAGACGCCUCAGAAGACAAGCAGAGAUGGAAGAGGUGGAAAUCCAGUACAACUGGGGCCAAUUUUUCUUUCUUCCCCCAGGGGAGCUUGAGUCAUACCACAGUAGCAUGCUCAAGUACACUCGGAAGCGACUGCAUUUUCGUCCCCUCUCCAUGGUCCCGAGAACCCAACUGGCUAUAUUGGACCACAAUGAAAAAUUGGGCAGGAAACAACCUACAACUG